rnacentral:tRNA from 1 species
GUUGUCAUGGCCGAGUGGUUAAGGCGAUGGACUUGAAAUCCAUUGGUGUUUCCCUGUGCAGGUUCAAAUCCUGCUGAUAACA